CUCCGUAGCCACAUUGGUUGCGCGUUCGCUUAGUAAGUGAUCGAUCGUGAGUUCGAAACUCAGGGCCCUCAUUGACCAUCUUUGUGUUGUUACAGAAUAACUACGUCCACGCAACAAUCAUCUGCGAUGGAGAUCGAUCCACGGUCGAAAUAUGAUCGAUUCAUCCAUACAACUGCUCUGCUCUGCAAGACACAUCGGGCUGCUGUUCUAUAAAUAACUCAACAAUGAUCAAUCAACUGUCUCCGCUGUCCGGUCUAACUGGAUAAUGGAAGAACAGAUAGAAAACUCUUACGCCUAAAUGGCUGCUACUGUGUAAAUGUGUACUAUAUGGAAUGGUAUAGAAGGGAAUACUCUAACGUCGAAAAAUGGCAACUGUGUAAUGUGCUAAUUAUAGAUAUGAUAAAUAUGUGACAUGUACACGAUUAAAAUUCGGCUCUGUUACAGCUAAAAUGCCAAUGAGCCUAAAAUAAAUAAAAAGGGACAAAAAAAACACUGUUGACAGCUGGAUCCGUAGUACAGAAGCAACGGGGUGUCGUAGAACAAAUUCCAAUGAAUAUUUUGAAGCUUUAAGGCAGUACCUGAGGCGUUGCAUAGUUUUUGAAAAUUCGAAAAAAAUGCCAAAAUGGCGGUCUUUUUUAAAAAUAAGUUAUUUUACAUGAAAAAUCGUUGUUUAGAAGCUCAAAAAAAUGGAAUAAAGGAAUAUUGAAAACGGUUAUGUAACGCUUCAGAUAAUCCAUUUUUACGAAAAAUACUUUUGGGAUAACAUUUCCUAGGGCAUAAGUACUCAAAAAUGCAAAAAUCAAAAAUUCGAUUUUUUCGAUUUUCCAGAUCGGGGCCCCCCCCUUGAUGGAGAAAUGGCUGAUAUGUUUCUCACAAUCCUACUUAAAUAGGUUGUCCUACAAAUAAUAAUAAAAAUUCAAAACUGUAGAAUGAAUAUGCCAUUAAAUAACUUUAAAAAUCGUUCUUUCAAAGGUUACGAGAGAGUUAGUUUUACCUCCUCAUUGAACUUUUCAAGCCAGUCAGUCAACAGGCUUCCUCGAGGCUAAAAGCGCGUUUAAGUGGAAAGAUUGAAUAAUCGGGACGGGCCGCUAGUC